GAUGAACGCUGGCGGCGUGCCUAAUACAUGCAAGUCGAGCGAACAGACGAGGAGCUUGCUCCUCUGCCGUUAGCGGCGGACGGGUGAGUAACACGUGGAUAACCUACCUAUAAGACUUGGAUAACUUCGGGAAACCGGAGCUAAUACCGGAUCAUAUAUUGAACCGCAUGGUUCAAUAGUGAAAGACGGUUUUCCUGUCACUUAUAGAUGGAUCCGCGCCGCAUUAGCUAGUUGGUAAGGUAACGGCUUACCAAGGCAACGAUGCGUAGCCGACCUGAGAGGGUGAUCGGCCACACUGGAACUGAGACACGGUCCAGACUCCUACGGGAGGCAGCAGUAGGGAAUCUUCCGCAAUGGGCGAAAGCCUGACGGAGCAACGCCGCGUGAGUGAUGAAGGUCUUCGGAUCGUAAAACUCUGUUAUUAGGGAAGAACAAAUGUGUAAGUAACUAUGCACGUCUUGACGGUACCUAAUCAGAAAGCCACGGCUAACUACGUG
rnacentral:rRNA from 1 species